GAUGAACGCUGGCGGCGUGCUUAACACAUGCAAGUCGAACGAAGCACUUUGAUCGAUUUCUUCGGAUUGAAAUUUUAGUGACUGAGUGGCGGACGGGUGAGUAACGCGUGGGUAACCUGCCUCACACAGGGGGAUAACAGUCGGAAACGACUGCUAAUACCGCAUAAGCGCACAGUGCCGCAUGGCACGGUGUGAAAAACUCCGGUGGUCUGGGAUGGACCCGCGUCCGAUUAGCUAGUUGGUGAGGUAACGGCCCACCAAGGCGACGAUCCAUAGCCGACCUGAGAGGGUGACCGGCCACAUUGGGACUGAGACACGGCCCAAACUCCUACGGGAGGCAGCAGUGGGGAAUAUUGCACAAUGGGCGAAAGCCUGAUGCAGCGACGCCGCGUGAGCGAAGAAGUAUUCGGUAUGUAAAGCUCUAUCAGCAGGGAAGAUAAUGACGGUACCUGACUAAGAAGCACCGGCUAAAUACGUGCCAGCAG
rnacentral:rRNA from 1 species